rnacentral:SRP_RNA from 1 species
CCACCUUCACCGCCGUUAGGGGAGUUUCAUCCAGCGAUGGCAAAGGUGA